GAUGAACGCUAGCGGCAGGCCUAACACAUGCAAGUCGAGGGGUAGAAGUUGCUUGCAACUUUGAGACCGGCGCACGGGUGCGUAACACGUAUGCAACCUACCUUCAACUGGGGGAUAGCCUUCCGAAAGGAAGAUUAAUACCGCAUAACAUAAUUGAAUGGCAUCAUUUGAUUAUCAAACGUCAGGGUUGAAGAUGGGCAUGCGUCCGAUUAGCUAGUUGGUGUGGUAACGGCACACCAAGGCGACGAUCGGUAGGGGAUCUGAGAGGAUGACCCCCCACACUGGUACUGAGACACGGACCAGACUCCUACGGGAGGCAGCAGUAAGGAAUAUUGGUCAAUGGACGCAAGUCUGAACCAGCCAUGCCGCGUGCAGGAAGACGGUCCUCUGGAUUGUAAACUGCUUUUGUUAGGGAGGAAACCCUCGGAUGCGUCCGGGGCUGACGGUACCUAAAGAAUAAGGAUCGGCUAACUCCGUGCCAGCAGCCGCGGUAAUAC
rnacentral:rRNA from 1 species